rnacentral:lncRNA from 1 species
CGGUCCUUAAACUUGUAGCGCAGUACCAUUUAGGUCCAUAAACUUAGAAAGUGCACGUUCAGAUCCAUGAACUCGUUUUAAUGUAUAAAAUCAUGGACCUGGAUGGUACGUUAAAACGAGUUCAUAGACCUGGAUGGUACAUUUAAACAAAUUUAUGGACCUGGAUGGUACAUUACAACAAGUUCAUAGAGCUAAAUGUGCAUUUUCUAAGUUUAUGGAUAUUUUUUAGAGAACACAGUACAACACAGACGUUCACAACGCACGCACACUCUUCCCUAAGAACGAACGCACGCAAACCCUACCCCUAUGUGCACCUCCGAGGCCUGAUCAGCGGGGCCGGCGCCUACCCCUGAAAGCACAAAGCCGUUAGAAAAUCAUGGAAAAUUCGCUCUAACAAGGAGUCGAACCCAGGACCUUAGGUGCUACUAAGACUCUUGUAACCACUAGGCUAC